rnacentral:rRNA from 1 species
GACGAACGCUGGCGGCGUGCUUAACACAUGCAAGUCGAACGGAAAGGCCCUGCUUGCAGGGUACUCGAGUGGCGAACGGGUGAGUAACACGUGGGUGAUCUGCCCUGCACUUCGGGAUAAGCCUGGGAAACUGGGUCUAAUACCGGAUAGGAGCCAUUUUUAGUGUGAUGGUUUGAAAGUUUUUUCGGUGUAGGAUGAGCUCGCGGCCUAUCAGCUUGUUGGUGGGGUAAUGGCCUACCAAGGCGGCGACGGGUAGCCGGCCUGAGAGGGUGGACGGCCACAUUGGGACUGAGAUACGGCCCAGACUCCUACGGGAGGCAGCAGUGGGGAAUAUUGCACAAUGGGCGCAAGCCUGAUGCAGCGACGCCGCGUGGGGGAUGACGGCCUUCGGGUUGUAAACUCCUUUCGCUAGGGACGAAGCUUUUUGUGACGGUACCUAGAGAAGAAGCACCGGCUAACUACGUG